CCGAGUCUGCAUGUCAUCCGGCACACUCAACCCCUGUACUUCUUACCAGUUAAUAUAAAGGCAUUCGGCUCUUCAAGCCAACCAAUUCCUGUGUUCAGUAGUCAUUCGGCUCUUCAGCCGACUUCAGUUCUUGCUUGGUCCAUACAUUCGGCUCAUUCAGCCGAACCAAAUUUACUAUAGAGAUUUCGAACCCGGCUGAUCCGAUCUCUCGUCAUCCUAAUCGCUUGAUCAAUCGAAUGGCGCAAACUUCGAGGAU
rnacentral:lncRNA from 1 species